AUUGAACGCUGGCGGCAUGCUUUACACAUGCAAGUCGAACGGUAACAGGUUAAGCUGACGAGUGGCGAACGGGUGAGUAAUGCAUCGGAACGUGCCCGAUCGUGGGGGAUAACGCAGCGAAAGCUGCGCUAAUACCGCAUACGAUCUGAGGAUGAAAGCGGGGGACCGUAAGGCCUCGCGCGAACGGAGCGGCCGAUGUCAGAUUAGGUAGUUGGUGGGGUAAAGGCUCACCAAGCCAACGAUCUGUAGCUGGUCUGAGAGGACGACCAGCCACACUGGGACUGAGACACAGCCCAGACUCCUACGGGAGGCAGCAGUGGGGAAUUUUGGACAAUGGGCGAAAGCCUGAUCCAGCAAUGCCGCGUGCAGGAAGAAGGCCUUCGGGUUGUAAACUGCUUUUGUACGGAGCGAAAAGGCUCUCUCUAAUACAGGGGGCUCAUGACGGUACCGUAAGAAUAAGCACCGGCUAACUACGUGCCAGCAGCCGCCGUAACAC
rnacentral:rRNA from 1 species